rnacentral:rRNA from 1 species
ACGCGAAGAACCUUACCUACCCUUGACAUACAGUGAAUUCGCUAGAGAUAGCUUAGUGCCUUCGGGAACACUGAUACAGGUGCUGCAUGGCUGUCGUCAGCUCGUGUCGUGAGAUGUUGGGUUAAGUCCCGUAACGAGCGCAACCCCUAUCCUUUUUUGCCAGCGAGUAAUGUCGGGAACUCAAAGGAGACUGCCGGUGAUAAACCGGAGGAAGGUGGGGAUGACGUCAAGUCAUCAUGGCCCUCACGGGUAGGGCUACACACGUGCUACAAUGGCGCGUACAGAGGGAAGCCAACCAGCGAUGGUGAGCGGAUCCCAAAAAGCGCGUCGUAGUCCGGAUCGGAGUCUGCAACUCGACUCCGUGAAGUCGGAAUCGCUAGUAAUCGUGGAUCAGAAUGCCACGGUGAAUACGUUCCCGGGCCUUGUACACACCGCCCGUCACACCAUGGGAGUGGGUUGCUCCAGAAGUAGAUAGCUNA